GACGAACGCUGGCGGCGUGCUUAACACAUGCAAGUCGAACGGAAAGGCCCUGCUUUUGUGGGGUGCUCGAGUGGCGAACGGGUGAGUAACACGUGAGUAACCUGCCCUUGACUUUGGGAUAACUUCAGGAAACUGGGGCUAAUACCGGAUAGGAGCUCCUGCUGCAUGGUGGGGGUUGGAAAGUUUCGGCGGGUGGGGAUGGACUCGCGGCUUAUCAGCUUGUUGGUGGGGUAGUGGCUUACCAAGGCUUUGACGGGUAGCCGGCCUGAGAGGGUGACCGGCCACAUUGGGACUGAGAUACGGCCCAGACUCAUACGGGAGGCAGCAGUGGGGAAUAUUGCACAAUGGGCGGAAGCCUGAUGCAGCAACGCCGCGUGCGGGAUGACGGCCUUCGGGUUGUAAACCGCUUUCGCCUGUAACGAAGCGUGAGUGACGGUAAUGGGUAAAGAAGCACCGGCUAACUACGUG
rnacentral:rRNA from 1 species